CUACGGGUUGCUCCAGUGAGGAAUUUUGCGCAAUGGGGGGAACCCUGACGCAGCAACGCCGCGUGAGUGAUGAAGGCUUUCGGGUCGUAAAGCUCUGUCAAGUGGGAAGAACCUAUGCAGUGUUAAUAUCACUGUAUACUGACGGUACCACUGAAGGAAGCACCGGCUAACUCCGUGCCAGCAGCCGCGGUAAUACGGGGGGUGCAAGCGUUAUUCGGAAUCAUUGGGCGUAAAGGGCACGUAGGCGGCUUGGUAAGUCAGAUGUGAAAGCCCGGGGCUUAACCCCGGAAGUGCAUUUGGUACUGUCAGGCUUGAGUAUGGGAGAGGGAAGUGGAAUUACUGGUGUAGAGGUGAAAUUCGUAGAUAUCAGGAGGAACACCGGUGGCGAAGGCGACUUCCUGGACCAAUACUGACGCUGAGGUGCGAAGGCGUGGGUAGCAAACAGGAUUAGAUACCCGGGUAGUC
rnacentral:rRNA from 1 species